GUGGCAAAUUUCAAACAGCCAACACCUGUUCUUGGCAAUGCUUUGCCCUCCCCUGUAGCUCAACGUUUUCUGUUUAGUAAUCAUAAAAAAUAAAUAAAUGCAUUUACUCACAUAAAACAGAUGAGCUGACCAAUGUGAUACUAAUACAGCUGUUGUUCACAGCAGGGUGUUUCUGUUAGUCAUGGGCAUGCCUUAUACAGUUGCAUCCCAAUAACAAUGAACUGCAAUCUGGCGUGUAUAAGUUCUGGCCCCUGCUACAUGAAAUGAAUGAUGUGGUGGAUUUACUCUGGGAGUCUGGAAGCAUGAUUAAAGCUAUUAGAAGAAACUGAAAUACAACUGACCCUCACUGAGGUGAGACCAGGGCUAACAGGGUGUUGUCUGAGAAUCGUCUUGACUCCAGAGGCCUGUAGAUGGCAAUCUUGCGCUGCAUUGGAGAAGCAAUUCCCAAUAUCCUGCACAGCUCCUGGUCGCGGACCAAGAUGGGUACCAGCAAGGGGAGUAAGGCGAGUAAGGGGAGUUGGCCUCCUCCUCACAAUUGCAGCUGUCAUCACUUAUUGCCAGCCCUGGGUCUCCAUCCAACCAUGCCACAACAUCUGGGUCACCCUCACCAACGUGACGUGACAAGAAGCAAUGUGCCUGUCCUUGGCUAGUGAUAAUGACCCGUUUAUGACAUGUCUGGUGGGGAACCGGCAGAUAACAAAGAUUGGACUGUUUACUUACUGCAAAUGCCCCUAGAGCCACAGGAAUUAGAUAUCCUGGGAAGUGUAACAGCAACAGCAUGUGUAAGGCUUAAUUGCUCGGGCAAAAACCAAACCAUGAAACAAAUCGUCAAUGCCACACUUGCUCCUUAUUGCAAUGCAUCUCUUUGGUGUAAUUAUACAAAGCUAUAAUAGCAUAAUUCCUUGCAUCAGGAGCUGCUCUGCUCGGCUGUGGGAUCGACUGUGGAGCAGACACCCCUAGGUGCACCCCAAGCAUUUUCCUUGGAGGGGUCUCCACUCUCAGCCAUUCACUGGGGGAGUAGACAAGGACCUCCUGAAGCCACGGACAAAUUUUUUCAAGUGAUAUUUUCCUGUGGUAUGAAUGAGAAGUGCAAGAGGCCUCUUUAUGUGAUUGUGCUGUGCAAGUGAGAUGCAGCAUUGCUGUGAAGCAACAACCCUAGUGCCUAGUGGCUUGUUGACUGAUGUAUAUUCUAGUAGGCACACUACUUUGCAAUUGUAAUUCUGCUUGUGAUUUUCACCCUGUUGCUUAUUGUACUUUGCUCAUUGCAAUGUCUAUGGUGCUUGAUAGAAAAAUCUAUAGAAAGUGUUUGGUUGGUUGAAAAUAAAAACAGGGGAAUUGUGGGAAAGGAAUUUGCAGGUGGCUUUGCGCUGUUUCACACGUCCCUGAACUAGAGGUUAUGAUGAAGUAAGCAGUAGAAACAAAAACUUGAGCAAGGUCGAGAUAAAUUAACUUGGCUACAGUGUUAAAGAUGAGCUUUGGGCAGUGGCCAAUUGCUGGCUGGCUUGAGGCUCGUGUUU
rnacentral:lncRNA from 1 species